rnacentral:rRNA from 1 species
CUACGGGGUGCUCCAGUAGGGAAUAUUGCGCAAUGGGCGAAAGCCUGACGCAGCAAUACCGCGUGAGUGAGGAAGGUUUUCGGACUGUAAAGCUCUGUCAAGGUGGAAAAAUGGCUUAGGGUCCAAUAGGCCUUAAGUUUGAUGGUACACCUGAAGGAAGCACCGGCUAACUUCGUGCCAGCAGCCGCGGUAAUACGAGGGGUGCAAGCGUUGUUCGGAUUUAUUGGGCGUAAAGCGCGCGCAGGCGGAUUCAUAAGUCAGGUGUGAAAUCUCGGGGCUCAACUCCGAAACUGCGCCUGAAACUGUAAAUCUAGAAUGUCAGAGAGGGAAGGGGUAUUUCUCAUGUAGGGGUAAAAUCCGUAGAGAUGAGAAGGAACACCAGAGGCGAAGGCGCCUUCCUGGAUGAUUAUUGACGCUGAGGCGCGAAAGCGUGGGGAGCAAACAGGAUUAGAUACCCGAGUAGUC